UCUGGUGGUGAUGCGCUUAGGGGACACACCCGUUCCCAUCCCGAACACGAUGGUUAAGACCUAAGCGGCCGAUGGUACUAUGCUGGAGACGGCAUGGGAGAGCAGGUGGCUGCCAGAU
rfam:Roseburia sp. 499 contig000040, whole genome shotgun sequence.